rnacentral:rRNA from 1 species
CCUACGGGCGGCAGCAGUGAGGAAUAUUGGUCAAUGGGCGGGAGCCUGAACCAGCCAAGCCGCGUGAGGGGAGAAGGUACAGCGUAUCGUAAACCUCUUUUGUCAGGGAACAAAGGCGGGGACUAGUCCCCGGAUGAGGGUACCUGAAGAAAAAGCAUCGGCUAACUCCGUGCCAGCAGCCGCGGUAAUACGGAGGAUGCGAGCGUUAUCCGGAUUUAUUAGGUUUAAAGGGUGCGCAGGCGGCCUGUUAAGUCAGCGGGAAAAGCCCGGGGCUCAACCCCGGCGAGCCGUUGAAACUGGCGGGCUGGAGUUGGAGAGAAGUACGCGGAAUGCGCGGUGUAGCGGUGAAAUGCUUAGAUAUCGCGCAGAACCCCGAUUGCGAAGGCAGCGUACCGGCUCCACACUGACGCUGAGGCACGAAAGCGUGGGUAUCGAACAGGAUUAGAUACCCUAGUAGUC